rnacentral:rRNA from 1 species
UUUUGUCGUUUACAGGUGGUGCAUGGCUGUCGUCAGCUCGUGUCGUGAGAUGUUGUGUUAGGUCCCGCAACGAGCGCAGCCCUCGCCCUAUGUUGCCAGCGCGUAAUGCCGCGGACUCAUAGGAGACUGCCGGGUUCAACUCGGAGGAAGGUGGGGAUGACGUCAAGGCAUCAUGCCCCCUUAUAUCCAGGGCUUCACGCAUGCUACAUCUGCCGGUACAAAGGGCUGCGAUACCGCAAGCUGGAGCGAAUCCCAAAAAGCGGGUCUCAGUUCGGAUUGGGGUCUGCAACUCGACCCCAUGAAGUCGGAGUCGCUAGUAAUCGCAGAUCAGCGACGCUGCGGUGAAUACGUUCCCGGGCCUUGUACACACCGCCCGUCACGUCACGAAAGUCGGCUACACCCGAAGCGGGUGGCCCAUCCUUGUGCAGGGAGCCGUCGAAGGUGGGGCUGGCGAUUGGGACGA